UUGAAAUAAUGAAAAGAAAAGAGUACUAGAGAAUAGUGGAACAAGCUAUCAAAUAGCGUCUGGUGACUUUCAGCUUCACAAAGACAGGGGAAUCAAGAGUUCAGCAUGAAAACAUUCUCUGAAAUGGUCUACUCAUUGGUUGGAUUUUCUGCUUAAAUUGUAGCUAAUGAGAAUCAAGAUUCAUCCAAUUUUGGCAUAUGAGGAAAAAAAAAGAAGCAAGAUUCAUGUCAUAUGGCACAGAAUGAAAUAAUUUUCCAGACAGGCAAUCAAUAUUUCAUUUUAGACCAUGAAAACAGAAGCCCAAGCCUAGGAGACUCCAGCCACCUCCCUUCUCAGCGUAUUUACAUCAGUGGCUGACCAUACAUCGGAGGAAAUCAGCUUGAGAGCAUUGUACCAGAACUCAGAACGUGGAUAAUACGCUGUCUUCAGUUUCCUCACUGUGACCCCCUUGGAUUCGCAAUCUCCCCAACCAUCGCAGGCAAAGAAGAGAAGAAACCUGUAACCUCAGAACGCUGCUCACUGCAGAUGGGGGAGCCCAAUCUAACGUUAUCACCCGCUGUCAGCCAAUUUUUUUAAAGUGCUAAUAGAAAAAUUAACAUUCACUUUUUAAAAUCUGUACAUGCAGUUUUUAGCCCAUUUUUACAUACUUCUUUUUCUCAGAUCAAGCCAGAGAUCAUUUGAAAUUAGCAUGUAAAUAACUCAAAAUCAUUUUCUGAUUUUUCGCAAAGCAGAGCUGGUCAUUUGCCGAUCUUUGUGCCUAUGUCUGGAAGGCAGACUUUUCACUUUUGCACUCGAGUUGACAACUCCAGUUUGAUCAGAACACACUUCUUCUCAGAUCCUGCGUGAGACUUCACCACAGAGCUCACCAGACAGCUGUUGCAGAGAGAUGAAAGCUAGUCAGGAAGAUGAAACCGCCUGGAUCUUCCUGGCCCACGUGCAAAUGGAAGUGGGGUUUGCAUGGGAUAGCGAAUGUACAAGGCAGCUUCUGUCGAUCUCCGUCACAGCACACGCUCUCCGUAAACUGCCAGAGACGGAGCGAGAGAGAACCCCCAGGACUGAGAAAUAAGGAAGGUCAGAAAACCUGGACGUGGUAAAAAGAAAAACAAAAAAGAAGUAAAGCCAGUUCAUUUGUGUUGUGCACAUAUUAUCUACAUAGGCUAAUUAAUGCAGAGCCGGUCAAUAUCAAGAUGAUCAAAAUGGAAAUGCCAAGCACCCAAUGAAGUCAGAAUCAAAUCCGCAUCCCCCCACCCACCAUGCUUUCACUGCCAAGUCACGUGUUGCAUUAUGGCUUUUGUCUAUGAACUACAACUUGCAGGGGGGCAGUUGGCAUUGUUUUAAAUUGUAAUGUUAUGGGAGAGCUGAUUAAUGGAAGUCAUAGAUCGGAUGGAAUGUCUGGCUUUGAUUUGAAUCAAGCACACAGAGAUUCGUUUUGGGGUAUCAGAACUAAUAACAAGUAAAAGCAGGAAAUGAUACCUACGAUAAUUAAAAGGAAAAAAUUGCAACUUCAGGUGUGUAUGUAGAGUUCUGUUUCAAAUAAUUCUUAUUUGCAAUCUUAUGAGUGAACAUAGCUCAGGAUAAAACAAGGCCAAUAUCUGAGCUUUAGCUAGCAAUGUGAAUUAAGAAAUCUAUCUAACUCUUGAUAUUACUACUUAAAAUAUUAUAAUUCAUUUUAGUGUUCAACAAUAUAAAUUAUUCUAGUCUGUUUAAAAUCUUUUAAAAACCUCAAAAUAUACUGCUUAUAACCUCAGGGUUUAAAUAGGGUCAAACAUAUGCACUGGUAGGAAGAGAGAUUAAUUUAAAAAUUUGGAAUUUUUCAUUGAGUUAUAUGAAAUAAGUAAGUAGUUCUUUCCUGAAUGUUAAAGAUGACAAAUGUCCCCCCCCCAACCCAGACCCACUUAAUUACAGGGUCAACAUCAUCAUCACUUAAGGAAAAUAUUUAACAUAAAUAAUCUUAAAAUAUUAGUAUAAAAGUAACUUUCAGGAAUGUAUUGUUUAAUCUAUGAUAUUACAGACAUUUCCACAAAGCACUUAGCUCACUAUGAUCCAUUAUUUAACUGGAGAUAUUAGGGUUAUUUAGAUUCAUCUAUAUCUAAAUCCAGUAAAUAUAUUUAUAAAUAUUAUCUUUAUGUUGGUCCAGGGAGCUAGAACAUGAGUUUCUUGCCAUGCAAAGGGGGCUGGAGGAAAACCAAUUUAAAUAAAUUGAAGAUGAAUGGUUCCACUUACAUAGUUAUCAAUUGUCUUCUUUCCAAAUGAUCUAAAAGAAUAUCCUGUUUUACUUCAAUGUUUAGCCUCAAACAGUUUUGAUUACUUUCCUUUUUCCAUCGCUAUGUUCACACUCUUAAUUUGAAAAAUAAAUAAUUUGCUUCUACAUCAUUGUUCAAUCUUAGAGUUGUGAAUGACCUACCCAGAUAAUAAGUGGUUUUUCCGUUAUUGUCGAGCCUCUCCAAUGACCCUUAUCCUAAACCUAUGUCAAGAUAAGUAGGGCAUUUGUGAAAUAAACAAUGUGGAAAAAACCAGGAA